rnacentral:ribozyme from 1 species
UUUUUUUUUUUUUUUUUUUUUUUUUUUUUUUUUUUUUUUCCCCG